GGAUGUGAGGGCGAUCUGGCUGUGACAUCUGUCACCCCACUGAUUGCCAGGGUUGAUUGGGCUGAUCUGGCUGGCUGGUGGGUGUCCCCUUCCUCCCUCACUGCUCCAUGUGUGUCCCUCCCAAAGCUGCACACUCAGUGGAAGGGGACAGCCUUCCCCAAAUAGAGACAGGUCUUAGGUCGAGGGUAUAUGAGUAGCUCUUCUGCUAGAACCUCCAAACAAGCUCUCAAUAAACUUAAUCUACAGUUGUUGGACAUCUCUGAAUGGACUGAAGUUAGGGCU
rfam:Erinaceus europaeus unplaced genomic scaffold scaffold00387, whole genome shotgun sequence